rnacentral:tRNA from 1 species
GGUUCCAUAGUGUAGUGGUUAGCAUGUCUGCUUUACAUGCAGAAGGUCCUGGGUUUGUGCCCCAGUGGAGCCA